rnacentral:rRNA from 1 species
UACGAAGGGGGCUAGCGUUGCUCGGAAUCACUGGGCGUAAAGCGCACGUAGGCGGAUUGUUAAGUCAGGGGUGAAAUCCUGGAGCUCAACUCCAGAACUGCCUUUGAUACUGGCGAUCUCGAGUCCGGGAGAGGUGAGUGGAACUGCGAGUGUAGAGGUGAAAUUCGUAGAUAUUCGCAAAGAACACCAGUGGCGAAGGCGGCUCACUGGCCCGGUACUGACGCUGAGGUGCGAAAGCGUGGGGAGCAACAGG